AAUGAACGCUGGCGGCGUGCCUAACACAUGCAAGUCGAACGAGAAAGGGUUCCUUCGGGAGCCUGAGUAAAGUGGCGAACGGGUGAGUAUCGCGUAGGUAAUCUGUCCCCGAGUGAGGAAUAACUUGGCGAAAGCCGAGCUAAUACCGCAUGACAUCCCCAGGUCUCCGGGCCAGGGGAUCAAAGGUGGCGAGCUUCGAGCGCUGCCGCUUGGGGGGGAGCCUGCGUCCCAUUAGCUUGUUGGUGAGGUAACGGCUCACCAAGGCUCCGAUGGGUAGCCGAGCUGAGAGGCUGAUCGGCCACACUGGAACUGAGACACGGUCCAGACUCCUACGGGAGGCAGCAGUGGGGAAUUUUGCGCAAUGGGGGAAACCCUGACGCAGCGACGCCGCGUGAGCGAUGAAGGCCCUCGGGUCGUAAAGCUCUGUCGAGUGGGACGAACAGCGAGAGCUCUAACAUAGCUUUCGCCUGACGGUACCACUGGAGGAAGCCCCGGCCAACUCCGUGCCAGCCGCCGCCGUAACAC
rnacentral:rRNA from 1 species